GAGGAGAAGGGGGCAAUAGAGCAUGAAAUGGUUGGAUGGCAUCACUGACUGGAUGGACGUGAGUUUGAGCAAACUCAGGGAGAUAGUGAUGGACAGAGAGGCCUGGCGUGCUGCAGUCCAUGGGGUCGCAAAGAGUUGGACACGACUAAACAACGAACAACAGAAAAUGCAGCUGCGUCCCUCAGCACCCCCUGAGAAUGAGGAGCAGGACAAAAGGCAGAGGAGGGUCUCUCUCACUGGCUCACCGGGUGCUGUGUGCUGAGGCCUCACACCUGCCACUUGACAUCAGAGUUCCUCUUGUAAAACGGCUGCCCCGACACCUCACCUGGGAGGGCCGUGUGCAGAGACCGUGCCCACCACACCGCAAUCCAGGGUGGGGGCAGCGGGCCGUGUGCAGGAGCGCUGUGCCCGGCACUGCCGUCUGGAGCCCGGGGCUGCACACCUGGGCCUGCCUCACAAGAACCCCGUCCCCCCUCGAGAUUCCUGUAAAGCAGCCUGUCCGCGCACCACGACCCACACCUGUCCGCAAGAGCGUGUGCUCCCAGCAGGAGCCUGCAUCUCUCCAAUCUGUGAUGAAAGAAUAAAGCAUUUUUACCCUUUGCUUCUGAACCCAACUCUGUCUCGCUCCACUGUCUCAAAGAACACGGGACAGGAGGACCCUCGUUGGGGAGCAACUCAAAAGGGUCCUCAUGCAGGAGCCUGGACUACCCUGUAGCUCAAAUGGUAAAGAAUCUGCCUGCAAUGCAGGAGACCUGGGUUCAAUCCCUGGGUCAGGAGGAUCCCCUGGAGGAGGGUCGGGCAACCCACUCCAGUAUUCCUGCCUGGAAAAUUCCAUGGAGAGGAGCCUGGAGGGCUACAGUCCAUGGGAUUGCAAAGUGUCAGAUGACUGAGCACGACAGUGAACAACUGGGAAACAAACCCCUGCUAAAAAGCAGAGCGCUUAUUUACAAGAGCCACCACAUGGCCUUCACUUUCUUAUUGCCGUCACCAUCAUGUUCUGCAGUAGCAACUCCAUAC
ensembl:lncRNA